rnacentral:rRNA from 1 species
GACGAACGCUGGCGGCGUGCUUAACACAUGCAAGUCGAACGGAAAGGCCCUGCUUUUGUGGGGUGCUCGAGUGGCGAACGGGUGAGUAACACGUGAGUAACCUGCCCUUGACUUUGGGAUAACUUCAGGAAACUGGGGCUAAUACCGGAUAGGAGCUCCUGCUGCAUGGUGGGGGUUGGAAAGUUUCGGCGGUUGGGGAUGGACUCGCGGCUUAUCAGCUUGUUGGUGGGGUAGUGGCUUACCAAGGCUUUGACGGGUAGCCGGCCUGAGAGGGUGACCGGCCACAUUGGGACUGAGAUAAGGCCCAGACUCCUACGGGAGGCAGCAGUGGGGAAUAUUGCAAAAUGGGCGGAAGCCUGAUGCAGCAACGCCGCGUGCGGGAUGACGGCCUUCGGGUUGUAAACCGCUUUCGCCUGUGACGAAGCGUGAGUGACGGUAAUGGGUAAAGAAGCACCGGCUAACUACGUG